rnacentral:rRNA from 1 species
AUGGUUUCCAUUGUCGUCGCGUGGCCUCCUCGGCGCCUGGGAGGAUGUCGAGGAGCUUCCUUGUUGCCGACUCCUUCGCCUACGUGCCUUGAAUCAAGCAGCACCACACCGUACACUCGGCAUCGAGUCGGUUCCCCGCUACUGCUGCUGCCUCCCGUCGACGAGCUCGAUGCAUCCGGCUACCCCCGUGCUAGCUCCCCGACCUCGUCCACGAGCAUCGCAUUUCUCUCCCCAUGCGCGCUAGCGGACUCCUGUGCAAGUGAUGUCGCGCCCCGUGCCGCCGCUGCUGCUCGCUACGCUUGUCGCUGUUGCAGCUGCUUCCACUCCUACCACUUCACCUUGCUCCGCCGCGCCGUGCCCGCCUGCCCGCGCCGUGGCCUUGGUCAGACGAGCCGCUGGCCGCCUCCUUUUCUCCUCGCCGCGGUGCCCUUCCACAGCCCCGCCUUGUUGCCGCUCACCCCGCCCCGCUUCACUGCAGCCACCUGCGCCGGCCGCCCAAGCCCCGCGCUCCUUGCUCGCUGGCCUCGCCCACAACCAACCCAGCCCAGCGAACAGCCUCCAUCGUUACCUUAUUUUCUCCUCUGCCUCCCGCGAACCCUCGCCGCCGCCACCAACGCCGGGCGAUUCCGGCUACUUCCGGCGGCCCUCGCCGGAGCGCAUCACACCAACGAGCUCUCCUCUCGACGGUUCUUCCUUCCCUCUAGCAAAAUUCGCUCCUCGCGGCAGCAAGCGCUCGCGCGCGACCCCUCCCUGCGGCUAGGGUUUCGGCUGCGUCCAACUCCAGCGCGGACGAACAUCAGGUUUGCUAACCAUUUGAUGUCUUUUGUGCAUUGCAGCUACCGAAGCACUAGAACUGCUCUCUUUGAUGGCAUUGAAGAAGGUGGAAUACGAGCACCAGCUUAUUCUUCACAUGAGAUAGAUGAACAUGAGAAUGAGCGAGCUAUGGAUCGAUUGUAGGGAUCGAGUCAGCAUUCUCAAGAGGAGGUGAUCGACGCUGACUAGCGCGGCUGGUAAAGGGUACAAUGUUGGUAAUACAUCUGCUGUUGCUGAUGCCUUCUUGCUUGCUUGCUUGCGAAUGACCUGGGAAUUAUUUCUACUUGGUGCACAGCCUUUGCUUGUUGCAAUUUGCCUCAAAAGCUUGUAUUCAGAAUCUAUAACAAGAUUUCGUACUGCCUUGGAAUUCCUUAUCUCCUUUUACUUGUGGUCAUGCCUAGCACUAUCUUGGUUCAUUGUUUAAUUCCAGGAUUUGUGAGUUCCUAGUAGGGAACACAUGGACACGAAGCUGCGGCGGCGACGACGAUGAUAUCAACAUGGGGCUGCAGCGGCGACGAUGGCGACGACGAGAUCGACAUCGACAUGGGGCUGCGGCGGCCACGACGACGACAGCAUCCUCGCGGUGCUGCGGCGGCGAUGAUGACGACAUCAACACCAUCAAACACGGGCUUGUGGAGGCGCCGGCGACGAUGACCUAUAGGCGUGGUGUAUAUUGUAUAUGUAUGUAUGUAUACAUAUAGGCGAUGAUGACCUACUGGUAUGCAAAAAACCCAUGCUAAUGUAGUGUUUUUUCUAGUA